AACUGGGAUUAGAUACCCCACUAUGCACAGCCCUAAACUUUGAUAGAACUUUACACUUUCUAUCCGCCUGGGUACUACAAGCCCCAGCUUAAAAUCCAAAGGACUUGGCGGUGCUUUAGACCCACCUAGAGGAGCCUGUUCUA
rnacentral:rRNA from 1 species